AUGGCCUCCUUCCCGCUGGCAUCCGCCGCCCGUUCCCUCCCCACCCUAGGGUCUCACCUCCCGGCAGCCGCGACCACCCGCAGCGUCUCCAUCCCGGCCUCCCCUGUCCCUGCGGCGAAGAACGCCACCUCCUGCAGCUUCAGCACCAGGAGCUGCAGGCCAACCGUUCGACGGAACGCCGCAGAGACCUACGUCCCAGGCUCCGGCAAGUACAUCGCGCCGGACUACCUCGUGAAGAAGGUGUCGGCCAAGGAGCUGGAGGAGCUCGUCAGGGGGGAGAGGAAGGUGCCGCUCAUCGUGGAUUUCUACGCCACCUGGUGCGGGCCGUGCGUGCUCAUGGCGCAGGACAUCGAGAUGCUCGCCGUCGAGUACGAGGACAGCGCCUUGUUUGUCAAGGUGGACACGGACGAGGAAUAUGAGUUCGCAAGGGAUAUGCAGGUAAGGGGACUGCCAACGCUGUAUUUCUUCAGUCCGGAUCAGGGCAAGGACGCCAUUAGGACCGAGGGGCUAAUUCCUAUCGAAAUGGUCAGAAACAUCAUCGAAAACGAGCUGUGA
rnacentral:rRNA from 1 species